ensembl:lncRNA
UGAAGGUUCUGGAAAGGGACCUUGCGCCACGCUGAGUGGGAACCACUACACGUUGAUCACUAAUCGAUGCGAGAGGGAACAUAGGCCAUUACCACUACCAUUACCACAAACAGUUCUGCACUCGAGUCUCCAUCAGUGAACAGUGGAGACGUUCCACUAACCCUAACCCUAGUAUAGGUGGUGUUGGAGGUUGUUAAUGUUAGUGCCUGUGAUGUUGGAGGUUGUUAAUGUUAGUGUCUGUGGUGUUGGAGGUUGUUAAUGUUAGUGUCUGUUGUGUUGGAGGAGGUUGUUAAUGUUAGUGUCUGUGGUGUUGGAGGAGGUUGUUAAUGUUAGUGUGUGUGGUGUUGGAGGUUGUUAAUGUUAGUGUCUGUGGUGUUGGAGGAGGUUGUUAAUGUUAGUGUCUGUGGUGUUGGAGGUUGUUAAUGUUAGUGUGUGUGGUGUUGGAGGUUGUUAAUGUUAGUGUGUGUGGUGUUGGAGGUUGUUAAUGUUAGUGUCUGUGGUGUUGGAGGAGGUUGUUAAUGUUAGUGUCUGUGGUGUUGGAGGUUGUUAAUGUUAGUGUCUGUGGUGCUGGAGGUUGUUAAUGUUACUGUCUGUGGUGUUGGAGGAGGUUGUUAAUGUUAGUGUCUGUGGUGUUGGAGGUUGUUAAUGUUAGUGUCUGUGGUGCUGGAGGUUGUUAAUGUUAGUGUCUGUGGUGUUGGACGUUGUUAAUGUUAGUGUCUGUGGUGUUGGAGGAGGUUGUUACUGUUAGUGUCUGUGGUGUUGGAGGUUGUUACUGUUAGUGUCUGUGGUGUUGGAGGUUGUUAAUGUUAGUGUCUGUGGUGUUGGAGGAGGUUGUUAAUGUUAGUGUCUGUGGUGUUGGAGGUUGUUAAUGUUAGUGUCUGUGGUGUCGGAGGAGGUUGUUACUGUUAGUGUCUGUGGUGUUGGAAUGGUUGAGAAGGUUAAGAGGGCAGUGCUUUCAUUAACUGUGGAGGAAUCUUUAUCUUUAUUGGAGAUUAUUCUGUUCCCCUGUUUAUAUGUUUCUGUAAAGCUG